rnacentral:misc_RNA from 1 species
AAACUGCGAUAAGUAGCGUGAAUUGCAGACGCUUUGAACGUUAAACUUUCGAACGCACAUUGCGCCGUAGGAGUCCUACCCUACGGCACAUCUGGUUGAGGGUCGUGAUCAAAAACAGUAGAACUAUGACUGUAAUAAAAAUAGCUGGUGAAUCACAAGUUCGGCCUACCGCCUCAGGUUGAAUGUGUUUUGCCAUAAUGCUUCAGAGGACAAUCCCUAGGAUUGCCUACCACACGGAUGAUCUAUUAGCUGAUGCAAUAGGUCCCGGUCAUAGGGUAUCAUACUUAAAUACUCUGUGGCGUCGGGGACACAGCUAGUACGCUUCAUACGUGCAUGGUAUUGAGAGUUUUCGCUCUCCCGACCUCAACUCAGGUGUGAUUACCCGCUGAACUUAA